UAUGUCAGGCCUUAAGAAAAAAACAUUACCAGACACAACCUGCCAAUCUGGGGGAGAGACCUAAGGGAGGGAAAGAUUUAAACAUAGCUCCCCUCCCCCUCUCCUGAGAAGAAAAGAACAUUCUGAUUCUGUGGCAGUUGACACUGGGCAGGAGAGGACCGUUUUAGACAGAAAAGGGACUAACGGAACAGAAACAGGGGAGGUAAAGGUUUAAAAAAAAAAAAAAGUCACAGUAUGGAUUCAGUGGCUAAUAUGAGAAGAGAAUAGAAGACUCUUUUGAUGACUAAGAAAGAUUCUUUUGGCCUAUCAUGAGUUUCGGGGCUUUAUUUGAUAGUCUGGGAACUUAUUUCAAACACUGUGAAGAUCUGACUCAGGAAGUGCUGGGAAGCAGUCCAGUGUGUUUAUCCUGACCCCUGUUCAACUUCUUCCUGCAGUUCACUCCAUGCUGGGAAUAGACAACUCUCCUCUGAGGCUGAGGCUAACCAGACUAUGCAGAACUUUCUUCUCUCCAACAUUCUGUGGAACUGGGUUGAAUGGAUCGCAGCAGUUACUAUUGCUGCUGGGACAGCUGCAAUUGGUUAUCUAGCUUACAAAAGAUUUUAUGUUAAAGAUCAUCGCAACAAAUCUAUGGUAAACCUUCAUAUCCAGAAAGACAACCCCAAGAUAGUACAUGCUUAUGACAUGGAGGAUUUGGGAGAUAAAGCUGUGUACUGCCGUUGUUGGAGGUCCAAAAAGUUCCCGUUCUGUGAUGGAUCUCACACAAAACACAAUGAAGAGACUGGAGACAACGUGGGACCUCUGAUCAUUAAGAGAAAGGAAACUUAGUCAGUUUUGAUACUGCAAACCAACUUGUCAUGAUGUUAUCUGAUUGUUUAAUUAGAAUGACUACAACUUCUGUCUAAUUCACCUCCCCUGGGUUCUAGAUGUGGUAUAUUGGAAACUGCAGCUUUCAUACUCACGGCAUUUGCCUUACUUGUUGAACCAUCGUGGUGCACAUUUGUUUAAACAAAAAAAAGAAAAAGUAAAAAACCAACUUCAUGGCCUAUGGGUUAUUUUGGUCUUGUAAGGAUCCGUUUAUGUUUAAAAUAAUUAUAUUAAGAUAUAGUUGUACAUUAAAGUUAACAUUAAAUUAUUCUCAAAAUCCUGUAUAUGCAGGUUGUACUUAGAAGUUUCAAAGAAAAUUAUCACCUUUUAAUAUUAGUUAACCUAGAAAGUAUAUUGGAUGUGAUCAAGCUAUAUUAAUCUCUUAAUAUAGGAAAAACCUGUGAUGACCUUGAUUCUCUUCUGGACCUAGGUGAUGAUGCUGAGAGAAUAUAGCUUCUAUGUUUUCAUAGUUUUCAAUCAAAAUGAACUUGGAAUGUUAUUCUGCUUAAUUAUAAGUGGGCCAGGUCUAAAAUAAAAGGGCACAGUAGCUUCUUUAUUCAUUUUCAUGGGUAUUUAAUUGACCCAUUAAAGGAACCAACACUGGAAAUUUGGAUCAAAGUGAUAUUAAAGUAGUCAUGAAGAAAGUCUUAAAAUGGUAAUGUUCCAGAAUUCUAUUCCAAGAAGUGGCAAGUACUUGAAGCGGGAACAUUGAAGGAAUUGGAGCACAUGAUGUCAAGCCUCUUGAACAGAAAGCCAUACAUCCAUGACAGAAAUAGUAGUCACAAAGCUAGAUGAAAGGCACAGGAAGAUUUUAUUUCCCACCCUUGAUAAUCAGGCACAUGGCUAUUUCUAUUAAAGAAACUAUUUGUGGGAGAAAAAUAAUUACAUUCUCUUAAAUUGUAUGAUCUUAAAAGCAAAAAAUUGAAGACAAAUUUUUGUUUAUAUAAUCUUCAAAGACUCAGAAACAUUGCAUUCAUUCCUGAUUCAGAAAAAAAGAAAAUGUAAUGAAUCGUGGAUCACUACAUCAAAAACUAAUGAUGUAUUGUAUGGUGACUAACGUAACAUAAUGAAAUUAAAUUAAAAAAAUGAAAACAAAAUAAUUAGAAGCAAUAAAAAUAGUAGACAGGAGUAGUUAAUAUGUGAAUUUUUAAAGAGAGAUUAGAGCUUUGGGCUUUAUGGGUUAGAAGGAAAAGUCAAGACAGAAUAUAUACAAUUGUAAAACAAACAAUUUGACAAAGGUAACAAAAAUAUUCUCAUCAUUUAUUUUAGUAUACUUGAAUUCUCAGUAGUAGUGAGUAACAAGUUUCUAUGUGCAAAAAUCCGGAAUAACCAUGGAAGUCACAGGAAUCAAACCAAAUAUCAGCAUUCCUGUAUUAUGUACGAUCACUGAUAUUUUUUAAAUGUACAAUUUUGUGUAUUACAGUAGGUAAAGUUUAUACCAAAAUUGUGUAUACUGGUUUUAAGCAGCCUAUGUGACUUAUUUGGAUGUGUCUUUAAGGCACAUCUUCAAUACAAAAUCUAAAAUACUACAAACCCUGAUUCUACCUAUCAGUUUCUUAAGGUGAAUUUCUUUCUGUGCCUCUGCCUUCUGUUUUAAGUAAGUAUGGGUGGAUCUGCAAAAGAAGCAUCAUGCUUUUAAAGGUUAAUUGUUUUAAGGAAAAAUGAAUCCAUGAACUCCCAGUUUCUGAUAAAGGGACAUCCUUUUAACAGACUAAACUGUAUUAUUUUGAAUUUGAAAUUAGACUAUUGGUCAUGCAUUUUUAUAGCUAGUGGAAAGGGGGGAAGAAAUUACUGCCAAUUCUCAAAACUUUUUCAAAGGAAUAAGAUUAUGUGUAUGUUUAUGGUGGAAUUAGAAGUGAUUGCCUAAUUGAAAUGCAGAUCUACUGUAGCAUUUUGUUAGUCAAAAUAGAUAAAUGUAUCCUCGGGGUCAUGUUAAAAUUUUGUUACAUGCUCUUCAACUAGAAUUCCUUUAGGAUAUUAAACCUUUCAUGUUACUUACCUAAAA